rnacentral:rRNA from 1 species
CAACCUGGUUGAUCCUGCCAGUAGUCAUAUGCUUGUCUCAAAGAUUAAGCCAUGCAUGUCUAAGUAUAAACACUUUUAUACACGUGAAACUGCGAAUGGCUCAUUAAAACAGUUAUAGUUCCUUUGGGAACAACACUACUUGGAUAACCGUAGUAAUUCUAGAGCUAAUACAUGCCUCAACGCCCGACUAACGAAGGGUGGUAUUUAUUGGAUAAAAAACCAUCGUGCUCUCUCGGGAGCGCUUUGAGAUGAUUCACAAUAACUUGUCGGAUCGCAUGGCCUCGUGCUGGCGACUCCUCAUUCAAAUUUCUGCCCUAUCAACUUUCGAUGGUAGAGUAUUGGUCUACCAUGGUGUCGACGGGUGACGGGGAAUUAGGGUUCGAUUCCGGAGAGGGAGCCUGAGAAACGGCUACCACAUCCAAGGAAGGCAGCAGGCGCGCAAAUUACCCAAUCCCGACUCGGGGAGGUAGUGACAAAAAAUAACAAUAGGGGGCUCUUUGGGCCUUCUAAUUGGAAUGAGAACAAUUUAAAUCCCUUAUCGAGGAUCCAUUGGAGGGCAAGUCUGGUGAACGUACGCAUAUCAAAAGCCCUCGUUAAACAAAAAACAGCGCCAGAUGUCUCUCCUGGAAGCAGGGCGGCAAGCCCGUGUGGAAGGCGAGUAGGCAAACGAUGGGACCCUUGAAGGCGGCCUUUGGAAUAAGACGGCCCGAAAAAAGACCACAGAGCCCCCAUCCUACACUUCUAAAUUGCCGGGGAGUGCCCGCUAGGCCUUGACUACCGCGGUCCGCCGAGAGGUGAGAGCGAGCAAUCGUUCAGGACGCAGCAGUGUACGUAGUGGUACAUGGAUGGUAAAAACGUCAAGGAUAGGGUUGAUCCGCAGGGAAGCGCGAGUGCCGACCUGGGCCCCCCCCCCUCCCUGGGGGGGGCAAGAGCCGGCAAAGGCGAACCUUCAGAGACUCUAAUGGAGUGGGCGCAAGCUUAAGGGAGAGUCCAAUCCACUGGGAAACCAGGUCCACAGCAGUAACGGGGUGAUGCUCGCCCCAGAGGACUGUGGAAGGCAACCACCCACAACAAAGGGGUGUGUGUGUGUUGUCGGGUAGCAAUGGCCAGCAGCCGCGGUAAUUCCAGCUCCAAUAGCGUAUAUUAAAGUUGUUGCAGUUAAAACGCUCGUAGUCGGACCUUGGAGCGACCUCACGGGCCGGGCUCCUGUCAUGUUUGCCCGUGAGAGUCUGUCUCCAUCUUUGUCGGGACGCGGUGUGUGGGGACUUUAGUGACUCCACGCGUUUACCUGCGGGCCGACCGUUUACUGUGAAGAAAGUAAAGUGUUUAAAGCAGGCCAAUGCCUUGAAUAUGUGAGCAUGGAAUAAUAGAAUAGGACUUGGGCUCUAUUUUGUUGGUUUCCAGUGACCAAGUAAUGAUUAAUAGGGACGGUUGGGGGCAUUCGUAUUUCAUUGUCAGAGGUGAAAUUCUUGGAUUGAUGGAAGACGUACAACUGCGAAAGCAUCUGCCAUGGAUGUUUUCAUUGAUCAAGAACGAAAGUUAGGGGAUCGAAGACGAUCAGAUACCGUCGUAGUCUUAACCAUAAACGAUGCCGACUGGGGAUUGGCGGGGGCACUACUAUAUGACUCCGUCAGCACCCUGAGGGAAACCAAAGUCUUUGGGUUCUGGGGGGAGUAUGGUCGCAAGGCUGAAACUUAAAGGAAUUGACGGAAGGGCACCACCAGGAGUGGAGCCUGCGGCUUAAUUUGACUCAACACGGGAAAACUUACCAGGUCCGGACAGAAGAAUGAUUGACAGACUGAAAGCUCUUUCUUGAUUUUUUGGUUGGUGGUGCAUGGCCGUUCUUAGUUGGUGGAGUGAUUUGUCUGGUUAAUUCCGUUAACGAACGAGACCUCGUCCUGCUAAAUAGGUGCGCGCAUGCUUGCACUGUGUUCUGACCUUCUUAGAGGGACUGUGCGCGUCUAGCGUACGGAAGAUUGAGGCAAUAACAGGUCUGUGAUGCCCUUAGAUGUUCUGGGCCGCACGCGCGCUACACUGAUGCAUUCAACGAGUUUCGCUUGAUAGUCCUGGGCCGGAAGGCUCGGGUAAUCUUUUGAAAGUGCAUCGUGCUGGGGAUAGAUCAUUGCAAUUAUUGAUCUUAAACGAGGAAUUCCUUGUAGGCGCAGGUCAUCAGCCUGCGCCGAAUACGUCCCUGCCCUUUGUACACACCGCCCGUCGCUCCUACCGAUUGAAUGGUCCGAUGAAAUGUCCGGAUCGCGGUUAUUGUGAUGGACUAGUCCAGAGCGGUAGCUGUGAGAAGCUCAUUAAAUCUUAUCAUUUAGAGGAAGGAGAAGUCGUAACAAGGUUUCCGUAUUUUGUGGAUGGAUACCCGAGUCAAAACACACAUCCAGGGUUGCCCCUUCGUGGGGAUGACGAUGUUGUUGCGGUAUAGGGUCCUUCCGUAGGAAAACGUACACGAAGCCUUUGCGGCCCGAAAGGGUGCACAGUGCGCGACUAUAAACACUGAUUCUGUGGUCAACGCAAGCAGCGGUUCUUCUGUGCGGAACAGCUGCGACUUUCUCAAAUUGCGGGAACACCCUAAAGUCAACAAACACCGCGGCUUGACGUGAAAGCGUCAGGCGCAGCAGCCGGGGUAGUGCCCUGGCGGAAGGUAAUAGCUUUGUUGAAUGGUAUGUAUAUACACAAUGGGCAAUCCGCAGCCAAGCCCCUAAGGUCCUCCGUGGCUAUGGGGAAGGUUCACAGACUGUAAGGGAAGGGGUUUCUUCCACAAGAGAAGAAGCUUAAGAGACAGUCGGUCCCCUGCGAAAGCAGUGUCCCAUGUGAGGAAGGUGCCCAUGAAAAGUGGGCGCUGGAGAGCCAUGGGAACCUCUCUAUGAGGAUGGGGAGUUUUCCUAGAUAACAAUGAGAAACACACGUUCCGUAGGUGAACCUGCAGAAGGAUCAAGCU